AGCACUGUAUCGUGCCACACCUGAGAUACCUGCUGCACCUUAGCAUCCCUAGCCAACUUCUUUCACCUGUAAAGCUCUGCUCAGUAAAACCUGCCUUGUGGCCCUCUUCAUUCAAAAGGGGCAGUUCUUGGAAUGGAAGCAGCUAAAGGCCAAAACGCAUCUGAGAGUGCCUGAGAAAAAUGUGAAGAAAACAAAAGACUUCUUAUAUAGAGGGUCAUAAAAGUGAUGGUAAUGAGAAUGGAUGUGGUAGCCUCUGAAACAGAAGACUUAUUAAAUGCAAACCAACUAGCAAUCAGGUGUGGGGCUGUCAGACUUCCUAGC